UAGCUAGUUGGUGAGGUAAAGGCUUACCAAGGCGACGAUCUGUAGCGGGUCUGAGAGGAUGAUCCGCCACACUGGAACUGAGACACGGUCCAGACUCCUACGGGAGGCAGCAGUGGGGAAUUUUGGACAAUGGGGGCAACCCUGAUCCAGCCAUGCCGCGUGAGUGAAGAAGGCCUUCGGGUUGUAAAGCUCUUUCGGCCGGGAAGAAAUCGCAUGGGCCAAUACCCUGUGUGGAUGACGGUACCGGAAUAAGAAGCACCGGCUAACUACGUGCCAGCAGCCGCGGUAAUACGUAGGGUGCGAGCGUUAAUCGGAAUUACUGGGCGUAAAGCGUGCGCAGGCGGUUUUGUAAGGCAGGCGUGAAAUCCCCGGGCUUAACCUGGGAACUGCGUUUGUGACUGCAAGGCUAGAGUACGGCAGAGGGGGGUGGAAUUCCACGUGUAGCAGUGAAAUGCGUAGAGAUGUGGAGGAACACCAAUGGCGAAGGCAGCCCCCUGGGUCGAUACUGACGCUCAUGCACGAAAGCGUGGGUAGCAAACAGGAUUAGAUACCCUGGUAGUCCACGCCCUAAACUAUGUCAACUAGGUGUUGGGUGGGUAAAACCAUUUAGUACCGUAGCUAACGCGUGAAGUUGACCGCCUGGGGAGUACGGCCGCAAGGUUAAAACUCAAAGGAAUUGACGGGGACCCGCACAAGCGGUGGAUGAUGUGGAUUAAUUCGAUGCAACGCGAAAAACCUUACCUACCCUUGACAUGCCAGGAACUUGCCAGAGAUGGCUUGGUGCCCGAAAGGGAGCCUGGACACAGGUGCUGCAUGGCUGUCGUCAGCUCGUGUCGUGAGAUGUGGGGUUAAGUCCCGCAACGAGCGCAACCCUUGUCGUUAAUUGCCAUCAUUUAGUUGGGCACUUUAACGAGACUGCCGGUGACAAACCGGAGGAAGGUGGGGAUGACGUCAAGUCCUCAUGGCCCUUAUGGGUAGGGCUUCACACGCCAUACAAUGGUCGGUACAAAGGGUUGCCAAGCCGCGAGGCGGAGCCAAUCCCAGAAAGCCGAUCGUAGUCCGGAUUGCAGGCUGCAACUCGCCUGCAUGAAGUCGGAAUCGCUAGUAAUCGUGGAUCAGCAUGUCACGGUGAAUACGUUCCCGGGUCUUGUACACACCGCCCGUCACACCAUGGGAGCGGGUUCCGCCAGAAGUAGGUAGCCUAACCGCAAGGGGGGCGCUUACCACGGCGGGGUUCGUGACUGGGGUGAAGUCGUAACAAGGUAGCCGUAGGGGAACCUGCGGCUG
rnacentral:rRNA from 1 species